rnacentral:pre_miRNA from 1 species
ACGAAGUGUGACAUGCCCGUUUGGGAUUUACUCUGAUGAAUGUUCAAUUAUUAUUUAAUUGCUUUUGGGUAACGAGGUGUUACACUG